rnacentral:rRNA from 1 species
CGGCCGCGUCGACGGCACCGUGACAACCAGGAGGUUGGCUUAGAAGCAGCCACCCUUGAAGAGUGCGUAAUAGCUCACUGGUCGAUGUGCUGCGGCGCCGACAAUCCACCGGGCGUCAAGCAUAGUACCGAAGCUGCGGAUUCGAAAGAAUGGUAGGGAGCGUCGUGGUCGGCAGUGAAGGUGAUCUGGAAGGAUUGCUGGAGUGGCCACGAGUGAGAAUGGUCGACGCGGCCG